rnacentral:rRNA from 1 species
GAAACCUGGUUGAUCCUGCCAGUAGUCAUAUGCUUGUCUCAAAGAUUAAGCCAUGCAUGUCUAAGUAUAAACUAAUUUAUACAGUGAAACUGCGAUGGCUCAUUAAAUCAGUUAUAGUUUAUUUGAUAUUAACUUACUACUUGGAUAACCGUGGUAAUUCUGCAGCUAAUACAUGCGUUAAAGUCCGACUUCUG